rnacentral:rRNA from 1 species
UGCAGUCGAGCGGACUUAUAAAAGCUUGCUUUUGUAAGUCAGCGGCGGACGGGUGAGUAACACGUGGGCAACCUGCCUGUAAGACUGGGAUAACUUCGGGAAACCGGAGCUAAUACCGGAUAAUAUAAGGAACCUCCUGGUUCUUUAUUGAAAGAUGGUUUCGGCUAUCACUUAUAGAUGGGCCCGCGGCGCAUUAGCUAGUUGGUGAGGUAACGGCUCACCAAGGCAACGAUGCGUAGCCGACCUGAGAGGGUGAUCGGCCACACUGGGACUGAGACACGGCCCAGACUCCUACGGGAGGCAGCAGUAGGGAAUCUUCCACAAUGGACGAAAGUCUGAUGGAGCAACGCCGCGUGAGCGAUGAAGGCCUUCGGGUCGUAAAGCUCUGUUGUUAGGGAAGAACAAGUGCGAGAGUAACUGCUCGCACCUUGACGGUACCUAACCAGAAAGCCACGGCUAACUACGUGCCAGCAGCCGCGGUAAUACGUAGGUGGCAAGCGUUGUCCGGAAUUAUUGGGCGUAAAGCGCGCGCAGGUGGUCCUUUAAGUCUGAUGUGAAAGCCCACGGCUCAACCGUGGAGGGUCAUUGGAAACUGGGGGACUUGAGUGCAGAAGAGGAAAGUGGAAUUCCAAGUGUAGCGGUGAAAUGCGUAGAGAUUUGGAGGAACACCAGUGGCGAAGGCGACUUUCUGGUCUGUAACUGACACUGAGGCGCGAAAGCGUGGGGAGCAAACAGGAUUAGAUACCCUGGUAGUCCACGCCGUAAACGAUGAGUGCUAAGUGUUAGAGGGUUUCCGCCCUUUAGUGCUGCAGCUAACGCAUUAAGCACUCCGCCUGGGGGAGUACGGUCGCAAGACUGAAACUCAAAAGGAA